AGUUGAGUUGGAGGAAAACGCUGUACAAAGAAUCAACAAUUUUAAGCAUGCUAAAACUCAACUACUAUCAAUCAAUAAAAGGAAAAUAUAUUAUCGCAUCAACAUUACCGAAUAAUACAUUUUGAAUAAAUUAAAAACCUAAUGUAUAUGUAAGGUGGAAUUGUUUUUGAAAAUCAGUGAAUUCCAUCUCUGGAUACACAUAGUACCUUCCACUUAACUAGCAGGAAGUCAAAAUCUCCAAAGAUCAUGUGCGGUUUCUGUCGUCAGCCAAGUUUGCCAGCUAAAAUGGGUGCCAAGCGAGUGGAGUGACUGAUGGCGUCAGGUGGACAAACAUGUAGCUCCUCCACAUGCACGAACCAGCUCAUCUUGUUAUAGUAGAUGACAAUAUUUAAAUUAUGAUAGCCAUAGAAGGCUGUCACAUGGGAAGCGGCGGAAUUGAAGCAGAUUGAGCAGCCCCAGUCGAAGCGGUUCACAUGAAAAUUAUUCACAAGGAGCCGACGACUCUGGACUCUGCUACGAUUCUUCAAAGAAUCUUAGAGAAUCUUAGGCAACGUGGCCUGGUGGGCUGCGCAAUUAGUCAAUCUCAAAUGAAAUUCAAAUAGAACUCGAAUAAUGAAAAUGACGGAUCGCCAAGCAGCGGGCACAGAAAAGAGCCACAGACAACGCUGGAGAGCUCAUCUCCGAAAGGCACGAUAAAGGCCACGGGAUCGUGGCACAGUCUACCUACGUGAUAAACACACCCACGCCAGCGGGAAAUAUUUGUGGGUAAACAGCAUUUGGGCCCGGGGAUUUUGCUCUAAUUUUUUAUGUGCAGCGAUACCGUUGUGGUGUAUGGUGUAUCACAAUUCUCACAAUUAAAAUUGAGCAAAUAGGCAAACAAGCAAAUAUUUUCACAGAUGAUAAAGUUCAACAGCAACAGCAACAGCAACGGCAGAAGAUAGGGCGCAGAGUGGCAUAAGUAGGUGUUGAAGAACUCGGGAUGCCCUGCGAUGUAUGAUAUAUGGCCAGUGGCCAGUGACCAGUCUUAUCCACAAUGCAACUAGAUGCACUGCUAGAUGCGCCUGCGAAUAUGAACCACUUGACAGACUUCCUCCAAUUCAGCAUACCAAUUUGCUUGGGUUUCGAAAUCGCUGAAUGCUGAAAGUGUAUCGUUUGGGAAAAGAACUGUGUUAAGAAUACUAUAACUCUUUGUGGUAAGCCACGCUAACCGUUUCCCCAGACCCCUACCUUAUCUCCCCCAACCUUGUAUUUGUUCUUUACACUUUAUUGCUGUCGCCGUGGCUUCUCGUUUGCUUAGUCUAAUGUGGCAAUCGCACGAAGAGCAACUCAGCCGUGGAGUAAACCCAGUUAAAACCCAUCUGCCUUGCCAUUUCGGAGCUUCUUGCGCGUGCGUUCUUGGCCCUCCUCCAAUCUACUGAUAAAGAGGGCUCGACAUAGACAGAAAAAUAAGUUGUUUAGAAAGAGCUGACGGAUUUGAGGAAGUGCCCAAAUAAAAGUGGCUAAGCUAGAACAACCGUAUUAUCAGGUCUUGGGAUGUACUGGGUAAAUAGUGGAAAAUGAAGCAUAUUUUUGGCUGAUUUCGCAAUGUGCCGUAAAGUAUGCGUAAGAUGGAUUUACUUUCGAUCGGUUUACAUAAAUGAGUUGCUGAUAAAAGUGGGAUUUGCACCUUAACAAUGAUAUUUUGAAAUAAAGUAAGGAAGUCGUCUGUUUA